AAACCAACAGGGAUUGCCUCAGUAACGGCGAGUGAAGCGGCAAAAGCUCAAAUUUGAAAUCCUCCGGGAAUUGUAAUUUGAAGGUGGGGUUGAAUAGGUCUAGAUACUUUAAGUCCAUUGGAAAAUGGCGCCAUGGAGGGUGAUAGCCCCGUAAAAGUAUUCAAACCUUCUUUUCUUCCCCUCCUAAGAGUCGAGUUGUUUGGGAAUGCAGCUCUAAGUGGGUGGUAAAUUCCAUCUAAAGCUAAAUAUUGGCGAGAGACCGAUAGCGAACAAGUACAGUGAUGGAAAGAUGAAAAGCACUUUGAAAAGAGAGUGAAAAAGUACGUGAAAUUGUUGAAAGGGAAGGGCUUGCAAGCAGACACAACCUCGGUUGGGCCAGCAUCGGAGUGGGGGGAGACAAAAAAGGUUAGGAAUGUAGCUCCCUUUAGAGUAUUAUAUCCUAGCCCUAUAUCUCCAUCCCCUUCCGAGGCCUGCGAU
rnacentral:rRNA from 1 species